GUGGGGAAUAUUGGACAAUGGGCGCAAGCCUGAUCCAGCCAUGCCGCGUGAGUGAUGAAGGCCUUAGGGUUGUAAAGCUCUUUCAGUGGGGACGAUAAUGACGGUACCCACAGAAGAAGCCCCGGCUAACUUCGUGCCAGCAGCCGCGGUAAUACGAAGGGGGCUAGCGUUGUUCGGAUUUACUGGGCGUAAAGCGCACGUAGGCGGAUCGUUAAGUCGGGGGUGAAAUCCUGGAGCUCAACUCCAGAACUGCCUUCGAUACUGGCGAUCUUGAGUCCGGAAGUGGUGAGUGGAACUCCUAGUGUAGAGGUGGAAUUCGUAGAUAUUAGGAAGAACACCAGUGGCGAAGGCGGCUCACUGGUCCGGUACUGACGCUGAGGUGCGAAAGCGUGGGGAGCAAACAGGAUUAGAAACCCUUGUAGUCC
rnacentral:rRNA from 1 species